rnacentral:rRNA from 1 species
AGAGUUUGAUCAUGGCUCAGAAUGAACGCUGGCGGCGUGCCUUACACAUGCAAGUCGGAUGUGUCGCAAGACACAUGGCAGACGGGUGAGUAACACGUGGGAAACUUACCUCUUAGUGGGGAAUAACGCUCCGAAAGGAGCGGUAAUACCGCAUGAGACCUAUCGCUGGGAUGCGAUAGAUGAAAGCUGGGGAUCGUAAGACCUAGCGCUGAGAGAGAGUCCUGCGUCUGAUUAGUUAGUUGGUGAGGUAACGGCUCACCAAGACUUCGAUCAGUAGCCGGCCUGAGAGGGCGAUCGGCCACACUGGAACUGAGACACGGUCCAGACUCCUACGGGAGGCAGCAGUGGGGAAUCUUGCGCAAUGGGCGAAAGCCUGACGCAGCAACGCCGCGUGGGUGAUGAAGGUCUUCGGAUUGUAAAACCCUGUCGUUAGGGACGAAGGCAUGAAUCCUAAUACGGUUCAUGUUUGACGGUACCUAGAAAGGAAGCCCCGGCUAACUCUGUGCCAGCAGCCGCGGUAAUACAGAGGGGGCAAGCGUUAUUCGGAAUUAUUGGGCGUAAAAGGUGCGUAGGCGGUUUUUUAAGUCAGAUGUGUAAUCCCCGAGCUCAACUUGGGAACUGCAUCUGAAACUGGAAGACUAGAGUGCUGGAGAGGAUGGUGGAAUUCCACGUGUAGCGGUGAAAUACGUAGAGAUGUGGAGGAACACCAGUGGCGAAGGCGGCCAU